rnacentral:rRNA from 1 species
UACAGAGGGGGCAAGCGUUAUUCGGAAUUAUUGGGCGUAAAGGGCGCGUAGGCGGCCUGGCAAGUGGAAGGUGAAAUCCCUCGGCUUAACCGAGGAACUGCCCUCCAAACUGCUUGGCUUGAGUCCGGGAGAGGUGAGUGGAAUUCCCAGUGUAGCGGUGAAAUGCGUAGAUAUUGGGAGGAACACCAGUGGCGAAGGCGGCUCACUGGACGGUUUCUGACGCUAAGACGCGAAAGCGUGGGGAGCAAACAGG